GGCUAGGUGGCAGAGUGGUCAUGCAGCGGCCUGCAAAGCCGUUUACGCUGGUUCGAUUCCGGUCCUAGCCU
rnacentral:tRNA from 1 species